rnacentral:misc_RNA from 1 species
UGGUUCUGGCAUCGAUGAAGAACGCAGCGAAAUGCGAUAAGUAAUGUGAAUUGCAGAAUUCAGUGAAUCAUCGAAUCUUUGAACGCACAUUGCGCCCUUUGGCAUUCCGAGGGGCAUGCCCGUUCGAGCGUCAUUUCACCAAUCAAGCCUGGCUUGGUAUUGGGCGAGGAGCGUCAGGCUCCCGCCCCCAAUCCGUCGGCUGGACGGUUCGAUUCUCAGCGUUGUGGUUUAAUCAAUUCGCUGCGGGAGACGACCGGACGCGCCGUUAAAACUCUCAUCACAGGUUGACCUCGGAUCGGGUAGGGAUACCCGCUGA